UAAAAGUUAUCGAUAAAAUAAAGAGAAAAAGACGUAAAAGGCUUUUAAAAAAAAUCUCUCCAUAUUUGAUCUGAGGACAAAAUAUAAAAGAAAGGAGAAAUAAAAAAAAAAUUCAGAAUACUUAAUUGCAGAAUUUGGCCCUACAUGUUUUUGAAGAUAUUUUUCAAGGGUUUUCAUUUUUAAAUUUCUAAGUUUAGUUCUUCAAGGUUUUAAAUGCUUUAGAAUUUUGAAAUCAUGGCUUAGAUUAUUU
rnacentral:lncRNA from 1 species